rnacentral:rRNA from 1 species
GACAGAGGGUGCAAACGUUGUUCGGAUUUACUGGGCGUAAAGCGCGUGUAGGCGGCUUUGCAAGUCGGAUGUGAAAGCCCUGGGCUCAACCUGGGAAUUGCAUUGGAUACUGGCAGGCUAGAGUGCGGUAGAGGAUGGCGGAAUUCCCGGUGUAGCAGUGAAAUGCGUAGAGAUCGGGAGGAACAUCUGUGGCGAAGGCGGCCAUCUGGACCAGCACUGACACUGAGGCACGAAAGCGUGGGGAGCAAACAGG